GACGAACGCUGGCGGCGUGCCUAAUACAUGCAAGUCGAACGCUGAAGGAGGAGCUUGCUUCUCUGGAUGAGUUGCGAACGGGUGAGUAACGCGUAGGUAACCUGCCUGGUAGCGGGGGAUAACUAUUGGAAACGAUAGCUAAUACCGCAUAAGAGUAGAUGUUGCAUGACAUUUGCUUAAAAGGUGCAAUUGCAUCACUACCAGAUGGACCUGCGUUGUAUUAGCUAGUUGGUGGGGUAACGGCUCACCAAGGCGACGAUACAUAGCCGACCUGAGAGGGUGAGCGGCCACGCUGGGACGGAGACACGGCCCAGACUCCUACGGGAGGCAGCAGUAGGGAAUCUUCGGCAAUGGACGGAAGGCUGACCGAGCAACGCCGCGUGAGUGAAGAAGGUUGUCGGAUCGUAAAGCUCUGUUGUAAGAGAAGAACGAGUGUGAGAGUGGAAAGUUCACACUGUGACGGUAUCUGACCAGAAAGGGACGGCUAACUACGUG
rnacentral:rRNA from 1 species